rnacentral:rRNA from 1 species
GAUGAACGCUGGCGGCGUGCCUAAUACAUGCAAGUCGAGCGAACAGACGAGGAGCUUGCUCCUCUGACGUUAGCGGCGCACGGGUGAGUAACACGUGGAUAACUUACCUAUAUGACUGGGAAAAUUUUGGGAAUCCGGCGCUAAUACCGGAUAAUAUUUUGAACCGCAUGGUUCAUUUGUGAAAGACGGUUUUGGUGUCACUUAUAGAUGGAUCUGAGCUGCAUUAGCUAGUUGGUAAGGUAACGGCUUACCAAGGCAACGAGGCGUAGCCGAAGAGAGAGGGUGGUCGGCCACCUGGGAACGGAGACACCGACCAUGGUACUGCGGAAGGCAGCAGUAGGGAACCUUACGCAAUGGGCGAAAGCCUGACGGAGCAACGCCAAGUGAGUGAUGAAAGGCUUCGGAUCGUAAAACUCGGUUUUGAGGGAAGAACAAAUGUGUAAGUAACUAAGCACGUCUUGACGGUACCUAAUCAGAAAGCCACGGCUAACUACGUG